rnacentral:rRNA from 1 species
ACGGAGGGUGCAAGCGUUGAUCGGAAUUACUGGGCGUAAAGGGCGCGUAGGUGGUUGUGUAAGUCAGAUGUGAAAUCCUUAGGCUUAACCUGAGAACUGCAUCUGAUACUGCAUGACUCGAGUGCCGCAGAGGGAAACGGAAUUCCUGGUGUAGGGGUGAAAUUCGUAGAUAUCUGGAGGAACACCAGUGGCGAAGGCGGUCUCCUGGGCGGAUACUGACACUGAGGUGCUAAAGCGUGGGGAGCAAAAAG